rnacentral:lncRNA from 1 species
ACCAAAAAAAAACCCAAAACAACAAAAAAUAGUGAAAGGAAAAGCCUUUCAGAGAGACUAAGCUCUGUUCAAAAUUUUUGUACUCUCUCUCCACACCCCCACACCACCCAACCCUGAAGUGGAAACUUAAGGGUUUUUGGGAGAGUCUGUUGUGUUAGAUGGUGUUUUGCUGGGGCAAACAGGUGAAGGAGGGUUUUCCUAAAGUGGACACAGAUCAAAGACUAAGGUAGACUCAUGAAGGAACGUUUCACUGAAGCAGACAUCAAGAGAAUGUUCUGCUAAAACAAACACAUGAAGAGACUCGUGAUGAAGGAUUCUUUGCUAACGGCUUGCAUGUAUUGAUUGGUCCACCUUAUAUUGCAUAGUUGAGCUCUCCUUGUCGGGACUCCAAGGACUUGGGCUGAUUGGAUGCAUGUGCUGAGGCACGACACACAGAGGACACAUGAUGUUUGGAGGGCAUAAAUAGGAUUGGACGGAGUGAUGGAGACAGAGCGUGGCUUGCUGGUACAGCUAGCUGAGCAAUGCUCGUGGGUCCCGAGUCUUCACUGAUCUUCACUUCCCUGGGAGAGGCACACCUGAGAACGUCUCCUGGUGUUCCUGUUGGUCCCUCGGCCUGGCUGUCUGCUAGGUCAUGUUACUGCUGUUGCUAACCUGACUCUACUGAACUGGAUUGCUGGUGUAUCCAUGAGAUGUUUGCAAGUGGAUCAAGCUGCCGCUACCAACCUGUGAAUUGAACUGCCAAUUUUCAGACAACUCAGAUGGGAGUUGCUCCAAAGAACCUUUCCAAACAGAUCCACUCAGCCCUACCCCCAUCCCUUGUCCUUUCUUUCAUACUACCUCUGGUGGGUGGUGGGCUACAGGGGAGGUUAAAUUGAUUAAGAACCAUCAUUAAAAAUAGGAUUUGAAAAAAAUUAAAGUUAUACCAGCCCCUACAAACACCCUAGAAGAACACAGAAUGUAAGAGUAGAAAUGUGUUCGUGUAUUGCAGUCACCCUGGGGAGAUGAAGGGGUCAGGGAUCCUAUUGUCAUUAAUUUCCCACACUCGGGACAAGUUUGGGUAGGGGUCCAGGGCCUGUCGUUGUGUUGUUGUUGAUUUUGUUGUUGCUGUUGUUGCUUAUUAAGCUCCCCCAACUAAUUGUGAUGCUUUGGUUUUGUUUUUCACUUCCCUGAAGAUCAGCCCUGGACAGGUGCUGCUGUCCAAAGGCAGAAACUAAAGAAUGAGAAACACCUAUCAGAUCUGAGACUCUCAAACUGUAAACAUUGAUUUAAUGUCUUUGCUCUCCUAGGAGUCACAUCGCCCUAAAGACUCCUUUAUGAAAUGAGUUCCUAGGCAAACUCAGUCUAUCCUUUGAUGGUAAAAUUUUUCACAGAAGCUGCACGAAGUCUGAUUCAAUCAGCCUGAGAACCUAAGAUGAUAGUAGGACCUUUGUCUGGUCUAUGUUCCCAGGACUACUAUACACCCCACCCCCAAACACUGCUAAUGCAAGACAGGAAAUGUAAUUAAUGAUCUUGAUAAGUCUCGCCCAGUACUCCAAGGCUGAACAAGUCACUUAUUUGUCAAGUAGAACACCAGUUGGUUUCUCUAAAACAAUGAGUGUGAUUCAGGUGUUUCAUAUCUGCUUCCUGUGGCCCUUCUCUUAUAGAAAGGAGAUUUAGCAGAUAGCAAGUUACUUUUUCAAAAAGCUAAUCAACACCAAGAUUAGAGUGUUUGUUCUCUUAGAUACCCUUCUCUUGGCAGAACAAGCUAUACCCACAAGAAGACAUUCUGGGUUGUUUUUUGUUUUGUUUUGUUUUGUUUUUUCCUUGACAAUAUGGUUUUAUUUGCCCUGGGAUCAACUUAUUUUCCUGGACUUCUUUUCCCCAAGGAUAUAGAAGUAGACACCGGGAGAAUUUUAUUUAAAAGCCAGUAGUGUGGCAUAGUGGAAAGUCAAAUGUACAUUUGACUCACUUUGCUGCUCUUUAAAUACACCAGACAUCCCAUACACAAGAAUUACUUCUGGUCUGAGUAGUGGUUAUUUCCCACUUCUCCAGACUCUUUCAAGUCUCUUAUAGCAACCACAGCAAAUAGUGUCAUGCCCCUGUGGGAGGACGAGAGGGCAAGAGAGGGCUGUGAAGGAAAACCCUUGAGAAUGUUCACAGCAUAAAGGUCUUUUGUCCUGAAACAAAUCGAAACAGAUUCAUUUCUAAACCUCUUAUGUAAAUACAUCGAUGUUCACCACCUUGAUCUGAACCACGGUGUAUUGAUAAGGGUAAGCCCUUAAUCGAUGACUCUUUAGAUACAUAAUUGAUUCUACUACCUUAGUAUAACUGAUCACAUAGAAAGGCUUUUGAGUACUGAAUGCUUUUUCUUCUUGAGAGAAACUGCCAGCUCAUGCAAUGACUUUGUAUAAGCUGGGGGAAAGGCACCAUUCCCAAGACACUUCCCACACAUCACAAAUUCUAAAAAUGAGCUUUGGGGAAAUCCUUCCCUGCAUCUGCAAUGUAACAAUGCCUGCUCUAGUGUUUUCUUGUCCAUCUGUCACACUCCAGUUCUCUGAGGAACCAGAUCUUUGUCCCUCCAACAUGGCCGUGGAGCCAAUGUUAAGCAGAUUUACCCUACUAGGCCUGGUCUGUCUCUAUGUCUCCUGAAGAGGCUUAAUGUUAUAGAUAGAUAGAUAGAUAGAUAGAUAGAUAGAUAGAUAGAUAAAAUACCCUGGGAAUUCAGAAUAGACAGGAAAUCCAGAGCCCUCAAUAGACACAAUCCCCACCACCACCUCUGCCGCUUGACUUUCUAAAGAGCUCUGCAGAAGAUAACUCCUUACCAAGCUCACCAACCAAUGGCUGCCGAACAAAAUGAGGGACAAAGACAUUCUUCCCAGCCCUGAGGAAUACGAGUAGUGAAUAUUCUUUUUCUACAGGCUGGUUGUAGUCUUAGGUCUCCACAGGCUACUGACUGGUGGAUCACUGUCUGCCUGUAAACAUUCUGCUACAGUCCAUCCGCUGCCUGUAGCCGCUGGGGAAGCCCUUCUCUUUAUGCUCAGUGUGAGCUGUCCAUUUAGUGUCUCCUCUCCAGAGCAAAUGCCCUCUGCGCUAACAAGGACAAGGGCUACUUAGGAGUUAAGCACACUACCACAAACCUCCUUGAAUAUCCUAGUGAACGUUUCCCCAGCUUGUUCAUUAAUAACAAGAGUUUUCUGUUUCUCAACAAUUGCACCAAGAGCCAUCUGAAGAGGAGGCAGCCAUUUAAGAACUCUGUACUGCCAAAGCAGUCUUCUGGCUUCUAGAAUGAGCCCUCUUUGUAUUUUCCUUGCUAUUGGUAGUUCAAACCUUUAUCCCAUCAGUAAAGGAAGAAAUAUUUUGUUUUGUUUUCCUUUUUACAAGUGAACUUUUCUCCAGUCACCUUCCACACUGAGGAUAAAGUACUAAAUUUACAAAUGCUAAAACCCAAGUUCUCACUCUUCUGGGCCAACACAACAGAGACAGGUUUUGGCAUUCCCAUCGUCCUUUAAAAUUACUACAGAAAGAGAAAAUGGUGGCCACAGAUCCGAUGUGUAUACAGUUAAACCUUAAGAAAACUGCUUCCAAGACAGAAUUCAGAUGUUCCAGUGUUUGUUGGAAUGGAUCAAUAACAACAACAAAAGUGAAAAAUCACAUUUCAAAUCCUGGUUGCUUUGCCUGCAGGACCUCCUUGAGAUGGACUCUACUGGAAACAAUUCCAUCUUCCAGAGUGGAUAUUCACUUGUUUGCUCUCCCAGCCAGGAGUCUGGAAGAAGCCAGCAGGCAGUGUAGUCAUUUGGUAAUGUCCUUCUGGCUGCCAAGGUGGAUUAGUGCUGGGAGAUCUUACAACUGGCUGCGCUAUAAGGACAACAAGGCCCAGGAGUCGUCACCGGUCUAGUCAAACCCAACUGGUAAACACUUCCCAGACCCUGCUAAAGUGAGAGGUUGUCCUGACACUUAACACUGGCUUGCUUUGUACAGAGCUAGGGAUGGUCAUUUAUUAAAAUGUGAUUUUAAUAGCCAUGUUCUCACUCCCAGCACUGUUUUAUUAUGCCCCUACGUCACCCUCAGGGUGGCUUUAGAAUGCCAUAGGCCUGUGAAGAUCUCAGUCCAUGAACAACCCCACAUAUGGAAGAUGUGGUUUCAAAACUAAUUGUUCUUUGCAGUUUUAAAUUGUUCUUAUUGUUCAUUCUCCGACCGCUACUGUCACUGCCACCACCCCAAUUAUUCAACUUGAAUUCUGUUCAUUUCUGGAUUGGCAGAUCUGUAAAAGCCUUCUGACAUCAAAGAAGGCCACGUUCUAGAAUUCAGAUUCUGCAUACACAUAAACUAGAUAAAUUCUAAAGCUAAAAACAAGGGGUAACGCGUUCAUCAUCUAGUAUGCUUGAGGCCCCUGGCUCAAACACCAGCCCAGCGAAAAUGUAAAUGAAUAAAAAUCAAAAAGAAAUAAAAAAUAAAAUUAAAAGCUCAAGUUCUAUCAGUGCCCCCGACUGGCUUGGAUUCCCUCAAUGACCUACCUCAACCCUGAGUUCCCUCCUUGGUAACCUGGGCAUAUUUCCUACUCCAAAAGAUCAAGGGUGUAUAGAGGCUAACUCUGCCUGAGUGUGAGAGGGUGCCAACCACAGGUACUAGUGUUCAGAAAUGCUUAUCCUUUCGGUUUCCUGUCUAGUCAGUUGGGAACUUUCUAGUCAGUUGUAGAACGUUUAGCUAAAGCUGGAUUCUUUGGGAGGGGACUCUACAGCCCCUCACCACUGGCUGAGCUCAAAUCAAGAGUUGGGCAGCUGUCUCCUGGUUCUAAUCCCUUGCUUCCUUCUUUCGUGGACCUGAGCCCAAAUCCUUUCCUGAGCCUUCAAUACCUGUUUUCCUCCUGGUCAUUAAGAAGAUCAGGAACCAAGGGCAUCUUCGAAGAUCCCGUCAACCCUAGAGUCAAAUCUUAAGGUCACCCAAAACAGCAAAUCCAGAAGUUUGGACAACUGGGCCAAGUGUUUCUCAGAACCUGGGAAUUUCAUAUCAGCAAGUCCAUCCCAGAAGAGGCACUGUGUUAUUGCCUAAGCCAAAGGUUGGGCCUGAUAUUAGGUAAUGGAGGCCCCAAGCCAGAGGUCCUGCCUUGGCUGGUGCAGAAUCACACAGGAGCUUUGUUUGAAAACAAAAUAAAACAGGUGGCUGCCUUUCCAAAGCUGGGGACCCUGUUCUGGAAAGAUUCACAAGCUAUCCUGAUGAUGGCUCCUGUUGGGAAACCAUGCUUAGAUCAGCCCCCAAUCUCUUCCUCCGAUGAUCUGGAAAGGGGCUGAAUUUUUGAUAAGUCGUCACCUGCUUCCAGCUGAUCACCAGCCUGGAGCUGAUAGCCACUAAUUGCGGCUUCUGAGCCCCUUUGUUCCACACCUCACUCCAUUAGCCCAGGAGAGAACAAGGACAGUGUAUUUGAGCCAAAAUGAUACAAUCAAAAGAGAACAGGGCUUGUAGAAUCAGCAGCAGCUUGUUUGGAACAAUGGAUAUGAGUUCAAAAGAUUUAAAAGCCAGAGACUCAACACUGAUCAAAAGACAGAUAAAAGUACUGCUCUUUGCCAAGGCAAUCUGACACGCUACAGCGCUCACUGUGCAGCUAACCCUUGUGGGACCUUUGCUUUAUAGAGAAAGGAGAAAGGAAAGAAAAUAGAAGAUUGUGGGGGAAAGCCUGGAUGUGGUUGAAACAAAUGAGCAGGACAGUAACCGAGGGCCAUCUUGUUGGGAGAAGUCUGUUCUGCCUUCAUAAACUCAUCUCCAGGCCUUUCCUACACCCUGACCGCUCCAGAGUGGUGUUCUACGACUGACAGUGACAUCCAACUAACCAAUUCAACAACACAGAUGGGCGCCGGGAGGCUGGGAGGCACCCGAGCAAGUGGGAAUUCCUUAAUGAGCUGCAAGAGGAAAAUCUCGAAAGGCAAGCCCAAGCUCCCUCGCCGAUCCGCAGCUCCGUGGCCUCUCCAGACAGCGCCCGGUGAAUCCCAUUUCACAUGCUGAAGCUGUUCUUCCUGUAGCCUCACCCCAAAUCCUUAAAUUUUAUAAAACCACUCCAAAUAUAAGCAGGAUGUUACUGAUGUUCAGAUGCCCGUCAGGAGGACAUGCCCUUUAUACAUGAAGAUUCCCUCGCUGACCUUUAUGCAAGAAUAGACUAAUCAUGACAUAACUUCAUAAUCCCACACAAACCCAUUCUCUUGCUCCUGUGUUCCUCACGGUCCCUCGUCCCUCAUCUCAAGGGUGGUCGGGAAGGUGGAUCUGUGGGUGGACCUGGCUAUCCUGGGCUAUCCUGGCUCGAUACCCUACUCCUGCAGGUGGACAAAACAUCCCUGCUACUCCCCCAAGCUACGGAUUGCUGUGUUCCAAAGAGAUAAAAUCGUUAAAAUGAUUUUAAUAAAAAAAUAAAAUAAAAUCACAAAUGGCAUGUGCCUAUGGUACAGAUCUCAUUAAACCUCGCAGCUGGAAAACCCUAUGCUUUCGAAGCCUGGCCUCUCCCUCCACGUGACUUACAAGGGGUCCAGGAUCUGAUUUACCCUUUUUGGCUCUGGUACCCAAGCAGGCCUGAGCCAAACAACUGUCUCUGCACGGUGGUGAUACCCAUCUUUAAGAGCACAGCUAGUAGAUGCAACUGUAGCGAGUACGGAAUGAACCAGCUCAGCCCAGGGAAGGACCUGCUGAGCACACACAUCCGGUGAGGUGCCGGCCAUCUCUUCUGGGCCACCCUGGAAUCUCACCGUGCCCUACUUUUCUGGGAUUAGUCCUGACUUCUGAUUAAUCAGCACCUUCUGGCCUUCUUAGGGUGAUGUUGUCUUUGCUAGAGACAAACCAGGCAGAGCUUUGAUGGCAGCCAAGGCAGAGAGGCCUGGGCUACUGAGGUCACACCUAAGCCCACAAGGCCACAGCCAGGUCCGCCCACAGAUCCACUGUUUGCUUUUAAGUACAAAGGCUCAAAUGCCCUCUUUGUGUCAUAAUUGUGAAACUAGAUAGAACAUGUUUUGUUUGUUUGUUUGUUUGUCUUUAAGGUGAAAUAUCAGAGCCCAGGAAAAUCUCAGGAGAAGCGCCUUGCCUGUGGGCACAAAGCCCUGGGGUUUGGCUGGAGCAUCUCAAAGAAAAUCGUUUCCAAGGGAGAACUUUGUAUACUCAUCCAAAGCCCUUCUCUUCAUUCUAGCAUCCAUUCUCUUUGAUGGCCUCCGUUCUGGUCUAUUUUCUUUCCCCAUGCAACAAAAUUUCAGGAGUUCAAUAUUGCCAAGCUAUAGACGUUUUAUAAGUUGUUUUAAUUUUAGCAAAAACGUGAAUUUUUUUUAAGAGAACCUUUGUCUUGCCUUCAAUUCUUUCAAAUGUUAUCCCCUUUCCUAGUUUCCCCUCCGAAACUCCCCUAUUCCCUCCCCUCUUGCCCUCUUCCCCAACCCACCAAUUCCUGCUUUCUGGCCCAGGCAUUCCCCUAUACUGGGGCAUAGAACAUUCACAGGACCAAGGGCCUCUCCUCCCAUUGAUGACCGACUAAGCCAUCCUUUGUUAAAUAUGCAGCUAGUCCCUCCAUGUGUUUUCUUUCUUGGUGGUUUAGUCCCUGGGAGCUCUGGGGUUACUGGUUAGUUCAUAUUGUUGUUCCUCCUAGGGGGCUGCAAACCCCUUCAGCUCCCUAGGUACUUUCUCUAUCUCCUUCAUUGGGGACCCUGUGCUCUGUCUAGUGGUUGACUGUGAGCAUCCACUUCUGUAUUUGUCAGACACUGGCAGAGCCUCACAGGAGACAACUAUAUCAGACUCCUGUCAGCUAGCUCUUCUUGGCAUCUGCAAUAGUGUCUGGGUUUGGUGGUUGUUUAUGAGAUGGAUCCCCAGGUGGGGCAGUCUCUGGAUGCUCCUUCCUUCUGUUUCUGCUCCAAACUUUGUCUCUGUGACUCCUUCCAUGGAUAUUUUGUUCUCCAUUCUAAGGAAGAAUGAAGUAUUCACACUUUGGUCUUCCUACUUCUUGAGUUUCAUGUGUUUUGCAGAUUGUAUCUUGGGUAUUCUAAGUUUCUG